AAAAAAGCGGUUUAGACACUUAUUCGUAUAUCAAUAUGACUACUGGAAAACCUCAAUCUUUCGAAAAAAUGCGCACUCCAUUUCCUGGAAGAUCUAAAGCCAAAGGGCCGCAGAGCGAUAUUAUCCCAAGUGCUCCCCCAAAUACUCCUGUAACAGAGCAUUAAAAGGAAGCGCUAGACGACUUGACUGGUCUUUACUUAAUUCGAUUUGGGAAUUAUUAAGGACGGCUGAUUCAGCGCAACGAUAUACUGAAUUGGAAACAAUUGUGUUUUGCCAAACGCGUUACCAAUCAAUCUCUGGAGGUUUGAUUUGAACGAAACCCAAUUCUUCUUUAUUUGUUUUAAACGAUUUUACGAAUUCAACAUUUUCUUCCUUUCAAAAUUUUGUUCUAGAAUUUUUC